rnacentral:rRNA from 1 species
AGAAAAUAACUAUGAUUCCCUUAGUAACGGCGAGUGAACAGGGAAAAGCCCAAAUUUGUAAUCUGGCACUUUUUACAAGUGUCCGAGUUGUAAUUUGUAGAGCUGUUAUCCGUACUGGACCAUGUACAAGUCUGUUGAAAAGCAGCAUCAUUGAAGGUGAAAAUCCUGUAGAUGAUAUGGACUACCAGUAUAUUUGUGAUACGGUUUCUAAGAGUCGAGUUGUUUGGGAAUGCAGCUCAAAGUGGGUGGUAAAUUCCAUCUAAGGCUAAAUAUAAGUGAGAGACCGAUAGCAAACAAGUACCGUGAGGGAAAGAUGAAAAGAACUUUGAAAAUAGAGUUAACAGUACGUGAAAUUGCUGAAAGGGAAACGUUUGAAGUUAGUUUUGUAUUCGUUGGAUCAGCUUCGCAAGGAGUGUAUUCUGAUGAUAAGCAAGUCAACAUCAGUCUAUGAGUGUUGGAUAAGGGUUUUGAGAAUGUAGCAAUUUAAUUGUGUUAUAGCUUGAGACUUGGAUACAAUGCUUUGGAUUGAGGAACGCGUAGUAAGCUUUGAGCGGAUUCGAAAGGAUCUCCUUACUAUGGAUGUUGGUGAAAUAACUUUAAGCGACCCGUCUUGAAACACGGACCAAGGAGUCUAACAUGCUUGCGAGUAUUAGGGUGUUGAAACCCGAAUGCGUAAUGAAAGUGAAUCUAAGAUGUGAUCCGCAAGGUGCAACAUCGGCCAGUCUGGAUCAUUUAUGUGAAGGUACUGAGCAAGAGCAAGUAUGUUAGGACCCGAAAGAUGGUGAACUAUGCCUGGAUAGGGUGAAGUCAGAGGAAACUCUGAUGGAAGCUCGUAGCGGUUCUGACGUGCAAAUCGAUCGUAGAAUCUGGGUAUAGGGGCGAAAGAG